AGUGAACGCUGGCGGUAGGCCUAACACAUGCAAGUCGAACGGCAGCACAGUAAGAGCUUGCUCUUACGGGUGGCGAGUGGCGGACGGGUGAGGAAUACAUCGGAAUCUACUUUUUCGUGGGGGAUAACGUAGGGAAACUUACGCUAAUACCGCAUACGACCUACGGGUGAAAGCAGGGGAUCUUCUGACCUUGCGCGAUUGAAUGAGCCGAUGUCGGAUUAGCUAGUUGGCGGGGUAAAGGCCCACCAAGGCGACGAUCCGUAGCUGGUCUGAGAGGAUGAUCAGCCACACUGGAACUGAGACACGGACCAGACUCCUACGGGAGGCAGCAGUGGGGAAUUUUGGACCAUGGGCGGAAGCCUGAUCCAGCCAUACCGCGUGGGUGAAGAAGGCCUUCGGGGUGUAAAGCCCUUUUGUUGGGAAAGAAAAGCAGCAGGUUAAUACCCCGCUGUUCUGACGGUACCCAAAGAAUAAGCACCGGCUAACUUCGUG
rnacentral:rRNA from 1 species